rnacentral:tRNA from 1 species
GCUUUAGUAGCUUAACAUUUCAAAGCACCGGUCUUGUAAGCCGAAGAAUGAAGCCUAAUCACUUCCUAAAGCU